UACGUAGGGGGCUAGCGUUGUCCGGAAUCAUUGGGCGUAAAGAGCGUGUAGGCGGCCCGGUAAGUCCGCUGUGAAAGUCGGGGGCUCAACCCUCGAAUGCCGGUGGAUACUGUCGGGCUAGAGUGCGGAAGAGGCGAGUGGAAUUCCUGGUGUAGCGGUGAAAUGCGCAGAUAUCAGGAGGAACACCAAUUGCGAAGGCAGCUCGCUGGGACGUAACUGACGCUGAGACACGAAAGCGUGGGGAGCAAACAGG
rnacentral:rRNA from 1 species